UAAAAGAUGGAAUUUGCUGUUGAAGUCACAG
rnacentral:piRNA from 1 species